UUCUGGGAACAUACCACCCUGAAUGCACCCGAUCUUAUCUGAUCUCAGAAGCUAAGCAGGGACGCGCCUGAUUAGUACUUGGAUGGGAACAACAACUUUUCAAUGAA
rnacentral:rRNA from 1 species